CGUACAUUCUUCUGACUAUUGUUUUAACUUCAGAAAAGUGCGAACAGAAUCGCUGUUUGUCAUUUAAUGAUCAUAUAUAUGUUAAAUAUGUAUAAAUGUAAAAUAUCUGUGCAUGGAUUUAACACUACAACGAACUACUGUGUUGUUCUGUUACGAUAUUUUUUUAUUAAAGUGUUGAGUGGAUAUAUAUUAAUAGAGGAAAUCUUCCAAGGCAUCGGGAACAGCUGGGUGAGGCGGAAGUAACCGCAUAUUGCCAUUCGUCCCCUGUGAAUCGGUGACCACAAAUGAAGAUGCACCUCGACUCGUUGACGGCUUGGCCACUGCAUCAAAGUCUUCCCUGGACAGCCUGGUACAGGUUGCAGAGAAGUAAAUUGACCAAUGAGCGUCGUGUUGCCCACGAAGAUAGUGCUUUUAAAAUACGAGUUUGAAAAUAGGCACUACCAAAUGAGGGCUAUGAUAUAGUCUUCUGUCAUCAAUGUAGUUAUUUCAAGGUUACGUAGACAUGGUAUUUGACCAAGAAGACUUGCACUUGGUGAGCCAGUAAUAGCAUUUAAAUUGCAGAGUUGGAGUCGUGUGAACGUCUGUUGUGUUAAAGAGGAUUGAUAAGGAGGUCACGGGAUGCGACCUAUUGGUCUGGUGUCUUGUAAUUCCUGUUAUUAGUAGUCUGGUGCACUAACACCCACGUUCCUGCAGUAGCACUCAUCAAUACUGCUCGUAACGGCAGCUGUCAAGAUUUGUGGGAUUAAAAUCAGAAAAUGUGUAUUUAUGUUGUUUGACAAUUCAUCAACCGAGAUUAAUUAUGUUUUUCUAUAUUUUCAUGUCUAUGCAUAGACGUAUAGUCCGUCCCAUCCUCCUGGAAAAAAAUCUUUUAAAAAAUAAUUUCAGUUUGGUUUGACUUAAGACGAAAAAAAGUGUUUUGGAAAUAAUAAUUUUUUUACUAUUUUUGUGUACAAUUUAGAAAAUUAUUGGCUCAGAAAUAACUAGCGUGUAGUAAAUUCCACAGUAUGGAAAAAAGGCAUUUCCUGUGGGAAGGACGAUAGAAAACAGUCGGCUCAGAAAUAAAUAACUUGUAAUAAAUUCCAUAGUAUGAAAAAAGGCGUUCCCUGUGGGACAGACUAUGAUUAAUUCAUAGUGAACUAAUUAUUAUUAUAUUCAGACACCCAGCUGUAAAGGAUUAAACACAACAGAACAAAACAUUAUUUCAACUCGGAUCAUAACAAAAGCGAUGCACAACAAGUAAUGCAUGCACAAUAUUGCAUGCACACACCCACUAUGUACAUAGUCAAUAAAUAAUUACCGUAUGAAAUAGCGUAACGAUUUAAAUGUUUUUGCAUUUCUGAAAUGAAAUCCAUUGAAACAAUGUCAUCAUCUUCAUAUAAACACGGGGCGGGAUUUAGCUCAGUCGGUUGAGUGCUCGCUUGAGGUACUUGCGUCGCAGGAUCGUUCCAACCAGUA